CGACAUCGUCACCGCCGACGCCGACCGCCGCAGGCUCAAGGGCAACCAGCUCACCAAGUUCAAGACGGAGCUUCGCACCGGCUUUGAGUUUGGCUACGCGUCGCGCGUCAAGGCGAACGUCAAGGUGAAGCUCAACCGCGACAUCACCUGCCAGGACCCGGAGACGGACCCGCCCACCUUUGCCGCGUGCCGCCAGUCGCCCCCCGUCGCCACCACCGGUUUCGGCGACGACGGCGAGGCGACGCGCGUCAUCAAGAUUAUCGACGACGACGAGGCUAACCUCGAGGACACCGACACGUCGGGCGCAACCGCCGAGGAGGCCGAGGUUCGCAUCACGUACAUGCACGCGUUCAACCCCAAGCAGGAUACCGACGCCGACUACAACAUCAUCAAGGAGUUUCCUGGGGAGAUUCAGGUGUUCAUCGAC
rnacentral:lncRNA from 1 species